CACCAAGGAACCAUUAAAACCACUAUCU
rnacentral:piRNA from 1 species